AUUGAACGCUGGCGGCAUGCUUUACACAUGCAAGUCGAACGGUAACAGGCCUUCGGGUGCUGACGAGUGGCGAACGGGUGAGUAAUGCAUCGGAACGUACCCAGAGGUGGGGGAUAACGCAGCGAAAGCUGUGCUAAUACCGCAUGUGAUCUGAGGAUGAAAGCGGGGGACCGAGCAGCAAUGUUUGGCCUCGCGCCUUUGGAGCGGCCGAUGUCGGAUUAGCUAGUUGGUGGGGUAAAGGCCUACCAAGGCGACGAUCCGUAGCUGGUCUGAGAGGACGAGCAGCCACACUGGGACUGAGACACGGCCCAGACUCCUACGGGAGGCAGCAGUGGGGAAUUUUGGACAAUGGGCGCAAGCCUGAUCCAGCAAUGCCGCGUGCGGGAAGAAGGCCUUCGGGUUGUAAACCGCUUUUGGCAGGAACGAAACGGUGUCCGCUAAUACCGGGCGCUAAUGACGGUACCUGCAGAAUAAGCACCGGCUAACUACGUG
rnacentral:rRNA from 1 species